UACGUAGGGCGCAAGCGUUGUCCGGAAUUAUUGGGCGUAAAGGGCUCGUAGGCGGUUUGUCGCGUCGGGAGUGAAAACUCAGGGCUCAACCCUGAGCGUGCUUCCGAUACGGGCAGACUAGAGGUAUGCAGGGAGAACGGAAUUCCUGGUGUAGCGGUGGAAUGACGCAGAUAUCAGGAGGAACACCGGUGGCGAAGGCGGUUCUCUGGGCAUUACCUGACGCUGAGGAGCGAAAGCAUGGGGAGCGAACAGG
rnacentral:rRNA from 1 species